UACGUAGGGUGCAGGCGUUUAAUCGGAAUUACUGGGCGUAAAGCGUGCGCAGGCGGUUUGCUAAGACAGAUGUGAAAUCCCCGGGCUCAACCUGGGAACUGCAUCCGAGACUGCAUUGCUAGAGUAUGGGAGAGGAAAGCGGAAUUUCUGGUGUAGCAGUGAAAUGCGUAGAUAUCAGAAGGAACAUCAGUGGCGAAGGCGGCUUUCUGGACCAAUACUGACGAUCAGGUGCGAAAGCGUGGGGAGCAAACAGG
rnacentral:rRNA from 1 species